rnacentral:lncRNA from 1 species
AUUUAUCUUAAUUAAUGUAAGGAAUUAGUAAUGCACAGACCACACUCCCACGAGUAGAUAUAAUUGAAAUAUGGUAUAUAUACGACUUAAAAUAGGCCGAAACUGGCACAAUUCUUCAAUAAUUCCUUCGUAAAAGCCCCACUAAGCUCAGUUUAGGUCUGGGAGUACGGGGCUUACCAUGACUAUAUACAGGCUUAAAGUUUACGAAUUUGCACCAUAAAGCUAGUAAUAAAAGAAUGGGCUGCUUUUGCAGUAAAAAAUCGUCAUCAGACAUGUAAAUUUCCAGUUCAGAUCAUGUCAUAUUUUCAUUUUUUAUCACUCUUGCAUCAGGUCUUCAGGCUGUAUAAUGUUUAAUAAAGAGAGUUGGCAUUCAAUAAUACAUAUUCCAAAACAAUGUGAACGAUCCUGAGGCAAAGUGCGUCGAAUGAUUCAUAGAUUUAUCUGGAAUAUUGCAAUCAGAAAAAAUUAGUUAUGCAUGAGGGCACGACUGAAGAAAAGUGGU